rnacentral:rRNA from 1 species
UACGUAGGGUGCAGGCGUUAAUCGGAAUUACUGGGCGUAAAGCGUGCGCAGGCGGUCUCUUAAGUCAGAUGUGAAAGCCCCGGGCUUAACCUGGGAACUGCGUUUGAAACUGGGAGACUUGAGUGUGGCAGAGGGGGGUGGAAUUCCACGUGUAGCAGUGAAAUGCGUAGAUAUGUGGAGGAACACCGAUGGCGAAGGCAGCCCCCUGGGUUAACACUGACGCUCAUGCACGAAAGCGUGGGGAGCAAACAGG